CCCAGACUCCUACGGGAGGCAGCAGUGGGGGAUAUUGCACAAUGGGGGGAACCCUGAUGCGGCGACGCCGCGUGGGUGAAGGAGCGUUUCGGCGCGUAAAGCCCUAUCGGCAGGGAAGAAGGAGGACGGUACCUGACUAAGAAGCCCCGGCUAACUACGUGCCAGCAGCCGCGGUAAUACGUAGGUGGCAAGCGUUGUCCGGAUUUACUGGGUGUAAAGGGCGUGCAGCCGGGAGGACAAGUCAGAUGUGAAAUCCCGCGGCUCAACCGCGGAACUGCAUUUGAAACUGUUUUUCUUGAGUACCGGAGAGGUCAUCGGAAUUCCUUGUGUAGCGGUGAAAUGCGUAGAUAUCAGGAGGAACACCGGCGGCGGAGGCGGCCUGCUGGACCGCGACUGACGUUGAGGCUCGAAAGCGUGGGGAGCGAACAGGAUUAGAUACCCUAGUAC
rnacentral:rRNA from 1 species